CUUCCCUGUUUGCCACCUGACUUCCGCUGUCCGAGAGGUCGGUCUGUUGGUUGCGUAGCAGAAUUUUUCCGGAAUCGAUUUUCUUGAAUUGGAUAACUUUCCUAAUUGCUUGUAUCAGCUUGUCCUGGGAAACUGCGGUUCUUGUCCGUGUUGCUCGACAUGAAUAGUUCAGCCACACCUGUGUGCCCCAGAGGAGGCUAGGCACCCUGUGGUUCCCUGCACUGCAUGUGACUUAAGAGCACGUAGGUUGGCUGAUCUCCCCUUUUUCUUAUGACUUGCUGUGUGCACGUGUGUGUCUGGACCCUGAAACACACCUUGGCUAGUCUGCCUCCUCCUGAAUCCUGUUGGGCAGUACUUCUGAGAUUAGUACAUUUUCCUUUAUCCCCUUUUCUUAAAAAACCGACAACAAACCGAUGAGACAAGAAACCGAUGAGACAAGAAUACUGUCUGAAUGUGAGCUAGGGGUUCAGUUAGGGAGGUACGGUAGUUGAACAAUGUUAGGUAGCCAGCUUCGUCUUCUCCUGCCGACUUCCGCAUGACUCGCACACCUCAGGAACGGACAACGGACCGGUAUUCGUGGCAGGGGAAAGGGGAAU